AAUAUUGGACAAUGGGGGCAACCCAGAUCCAGCCAUGCCGCGUGUGUGAAGAAGGUCNNNGGAUUNUCACGCACUUUAUGUUGNGAANAAGGGCUUUAGGUUAAUACCCUUAAGUUUAGACUUUACAUACAGAAUAAGCACCGGCUAACUGCGUGCCAGCAGCCGCGGUAAUACGAAGGGUGCAAGCGUUAAUCGGAAUUACUGGGUGUAAAGCGCGCGUAGGUGGUUUGUUAAGUUGGAAGUGAAAGCCCCGGGCUCAACCUGGGAACUGCUUUUAUAACUGCUGAGCUAGAGUACAGUAGAGGGUAGUGGAAUUUGCUGUGUAGCGGUGAAAUGCGUAGAUAUAGGAAGGAACACCAGUGGCGAAGGCGACUACCUGGACUGAUACUGACACUGAGGUGCGAAAGCGUGGGGAGCAAAC
rnacentral:rRNA from 1 species